AAACAGAAAACAAAUCUCUUCUAUAGCAGACUUAACAAAAAUUUCAGCUGAGACUUAAACCGACUUUUUCAAGGAAAUGAAAUUAGGAGAACAAAAACACUUUGAAGUGGACUGCAUAUAUAUACUCAAAAAUAACAUACAACUUGAGUCAGUAAUGGUAAAGAAAACGAACGUACACAGACGGGUUUGGAUUUAGAUGAUGAAGAAUGCACUGAAAGCUUUGCAUUUGAGUUCUCUUUUUCGGGUGAGUAAGUUAGGGAACUGCAAGGCCGAUCAAUUUGAAAAAAGAAAAAAGAAAAAAACUAAAAUGUAAACGCAGCUUGAACUUGAUUUCUUUUGGUUUUUGGGGAGGGGACGGGGGGAGGGGAGGGAAUGUAUACGCAGCUUCAAACUUGGUUUCUUUUCGUUUUUUUCCCCGGGGGUGUGGAGGCCUGGAGGGAAUGUAAACGAACUAACGAAGCCUCAAUCCUCAUGCAGCUGUAUUUAUAUGAAGUGGGUACUGCUGACUGAUCCACGAAGGAAGACUUUUGAUGUCAUUGGUGUUUCUUUAUUUUUGACCUUUUAGCUAGAUGACAGAAGAAUGCCGAGUGCUACGGACACUCGCGAGUGUCUCAAUCGCGGCUCUCUAUAUAGACACGUGUCUAUCAAAAUGAAACCUUAUCAGAGAGACAGCCGCAAGUAUGACGAGACAAGCGCGAUCGUAAGGAUGGAAGCCGCAAGUAUGAAGAGACAGGCCCAAUCCACAACGAUCCAAGAGCAAUCAUUACCUGCAAACUCAACACAACACCUAAUUAACUUCAAACCCCACCAUAAAUCCACCAACAGUCACUAUUCGAAACAAAUCUACCUCAAAUGCGACGUCAAAUAAAAGGAAUAAAAAGGUUUCCUUAAAAGAGAGAGAGCUGCGAGUAUGAAGAGACAAGCACGGUCCACAACGAUCGAAGGCUGUGUGGUAUGUGUCUUGUAUAGAUUGAACAGAGCAAUCAUUACCUGCAAAACUGAACCAAACACUCAAUUAACAAACAAAUUUCAAUUUGAAACCCGACCUUAAAUCCACCAUUGGGCACUAUUCGACACAAAUCUACUUGAAAUCCGACAACAAAUAAAAGGAAAAAAAAUUCUAAAUCAACAUCGAAAUGAAACCUUUAUAAGAGAGAAAGCCGCAAGUACGAAGAGAUCUGAAGUCCUGUUGGUAUAUGUCUUGUAUAGAUUGACAGAGCAAUCAAAGGCCGUGUCGACCAGAGCAAUCGCAGAAUAGAAGAGAUAAGAGAGGAAAAAAGAAGGAAGAGGAGAGCUGCAGCAGCAAAUGAUCAGAGCAAUCAUUACCUGCAAAACUCAACACAACACCAAAUUAACAACCAACAUUUCAAUUUCAAACUUAACCUUAAAUUGAAACAAAUCUACUUGAAAAUAAAAGAAUAAGCAACUCCGAAUCAAAAUCGAAAUGAAACCUUUUAUAACAGAGACAGCCGCGAGUAUGAAGAGACAGGCACAAUCUGCAGCGAUCGAAGAGAAAUCACCACUACCUGCAAAACUCAACACAACGCCUGAUUAACAACAAACAUGCCAAUUUCAAACCCACCUUAAAUCCACCAACAGACACUAUAACUUGAAAUGCAAUAUCAAAUAAAAGGAACAAGUAGUCUAAAUCAAAAUCAAAACGAAACCUUAUAAAAGAGACAGCCGCAAGUCUGAAGAGACCAGCACGAUCCUAAAGGAUCAAAGCCGCAAGUAUGAACAGACCUGAUUAACAACAAACACCUGAUUACCUGCAAAACUCAACACAACACCUGAUUAUCAACAAACAUUUCAAUUUCAAACCCAAAACAAAUCUACUUGAAAAAAAAAAAAAAACAACUCCAAAUCAAAAUCGAAAUGAAACCUUAUUAGAAAGACAGCCGCAAGUAUGACGAGACAAGCACGAUCGUAAAGGAUGGGAGCCGCAAGUAUGAAGAGACAGGCCCAAUCCACAACGAUCCAAGAGCAAUCAUUACCUGCAAACUCAACACAACACCUAAUUAACUUCAAACCCCACCAUAAAUCCACCAACAGUCACUAUUUGAAACAAAUCUACCUCAAAUGCGACAUCAAAUAAAAGGAAUAAAAAGGUUUCCUUAAAAAAGAGUCCACAACGAUCGAAGGCUGUGUUGUAUGUGUCUUGUAUAGAUUGAACAGAGCAAUCAUUACCUGCAAAACUGAACCAAACACUCAAUUAACAAACAAAUUUCAAUUUGAAACCCGACCUUAAAUCCACCAUCGGGAACUAUUCGACACAAAUCUACUUGAAAUCCGACAACAAAUAAAAGGAAAAACAAGUCUAAAUCAACAUCGAAAUGAAACCUUUGUAAGAGAGAAAGCCGCAAGUAUGAAGAGAUCUGAAGUCCUGUUGGUAUAUGUCUUGUAUAGAUUGACAGAGCAAUCAAAGGCCGUGUCGACCAGAGCAAUCGAAGAGUAGAAGAGAUAAGAGAGGAAAAAAGAAGAAGAGGAGAGCUUCAGCAGCAAAUGAUCAGAGCAAUCAUUACCUGCAAAACUCAACACAACACCAAAUUAACAACCAACAUUUCAAUUUCAAACCCAACCUUAAAUUGAAACAAAUCUACUUGAAAAAUAAAGGAAAAAGCAACUCCAAAUCAAAAUCGAAAUGAAACCUUUUAAAACAGAGACAGCCGCGAGUAUGAAGAGACAGGCACAAUCCGCAGCGAUCGAAGAGAAAUCAUCACUACCUGCAAAACUCAACACAACGCCUGAUUAACAACAAACAUGCCAAUUUCAAACCCAACCUUAAAUCCACCAACAGACAGACACUAUAACUUGAAAUGCAAUAUCAAAUAAAAGGAAAAACAAGUCUAAGUCAACAUCGAAAUGAAACCUUUAUAAGAUAGAAAGCCGCAAGUACGAAGAGAGAAGCGCGAUCCUAAAAGAUCUGAAGUCGUGUUGUAUAUAUGUCUUGUAUAGAUUGACAGAGCAAUCAAAGCCCGUGUCGACCAGAGCGAUCGAAGAGGAGAAGAGAGAAGAGAGAAAAAGAGAAGAGGAGGAGAACUGCAGCAGCAAAUGAGCAAAGGGAGCUCA
rnacentral:lncRNA from 1 species